CACGUAGGGUGCGAGCGUUGUCCGGAAUUAUUGGGCGUAAAGAGCUCGUAGGCGGGGUGUCGCGUCGGCCGUGAAAACCUGCAGCUUAACUGUGGGCGUGCGGUCGAUACGGGCAUCACUGGAGUUCGGCAGGGGAGACUGGAAUUCCUGGUGUAGCGGUGAAAUGCGCAGAUAUCAGGAGGAACACCGGUGGCGAAGGCGGGUCUCUGGGCCGAUACUGACGCUGAGGAGCGAAAGCGUGGGGAGCAAACAGG
rnacentral:rRNA from 1 species